ensembl:lncRNA
CAAAACUUUAGCGCCAUUUAGUGCUCAAGUUUUUCUUGUGCUUUUGUUCAUCGACGUUGUCAAAUGGGCUUCUUCUUCUUCUUUUUAGUUUAAUAGCGGCUGGUAAACCAGCUUACAAGUGCACUACCGCCACCUGCUGCACUGGAGUGUGGCUCCGCCAAUAAAUGUCCACACCUUUUCCGGCUUUUAAGCCAAUCAGCGAUGCGCCCUGCGUGAACACGGGGUUUGAAAUGUGGAGAGACUCGGCUAAGCUAGACGACAAAGAAAGUUAACCUGGUUUUGUUCUGCACUACUUCCUGUCCAACACAGAGGACCCAUGCCAGCGGCUAUGGCGAAUGAUACCGCGUGGAUGACGACGUGGAAUAUGGACACAAAUCCCAGCAACAGAUGCUGUGGUGUAGAUGUCAUGGAAGGUCCUCUUCGCCUUCUCCCAGGCAGAACUCCAAGCUCCAUGACCUGAUGACAUGAGCUCCCUCAUUCCUUAAGGUCUGUGUCUGAAUGUCAUCUGUUUGCUGAGCUACAGGAAUGAUUUUCUCUUGUUUCCAAAGGACAUGCUGUCAUUUUAGUCAGCUGCACAUUUUCUUUAAAUCAGUCAUGUUUUAUGAGAAACAUGCCAUCUGGUAUAAAAUUUUUACAAGUAUUAGCCCUGUACUCUAAUUGGUUUGUCAUAGAUUAUCUUUACCUGUUUGUUUUGGCUUUAUUUGGUUUGACACAUUUCUUUCAUCAUAUUUGUCCUAUGGUCAGCUGAGCUUUUUUAGUGAUGACAGUUAAUGCAGCUGCUCACCAUCAGAUGAACCAGUCUGAAGAUUGGACAGCUUAUGCUUACAUGAGAUGACCCAAAUAUAUCCUGCCAGCAAAAGUAGGUGGAGGAAGUCCGACCCCAAAACUGUGAGGAGUCGGACAAGAUUUUGCAUCAGAAGAAAUAUCCAAAGUGGUGGAGAGCAUCAUGACCAACCUCGGAAGAUCUGUGUCAUUGGCUUAACUUCAACAUUUUCCUUCACUCUUACUACAGCAACAAUCAUCCAGGCAAAUACUGUAAUAAAAUGGCACAAACUUGUAUCAUAUUUCUAGCAUUUUGAUUUUUGGGUCAUAGCAUCCAGCUGUCAAAUAGCUGAAUUAAAGCAGCAGAGGGUUCAUUAAUCACUUUUGCUGAAAGUGUUUUGCAGAGGUGACAGCAACUGGACUCCUAAGAACGAUUACAGUUUCAGUGAAUGCCUUGCAUCAUCAGAGGCUUUAGCUCAUUUUAAAUAUCUGCUUGUUCUGUUGUUAUGUCAUCCAGCAGGGUUAGAAGUUUGUUUGCCUGGCACUAUGAUGUGUAUGUAUUAUUGUAGGGUCUACCUUACAAUAUAAAGUGGCUUGAGGUGACUGUUGUUGUGACUUGGCGCUAGAUAAAUAACAUUGAAUUGAAGCAAUCUGUAUUCGGAUUAUUUAUGUACCCAGGAAACGGUGAAAGUAACUGUGUAGUUGUAACAUCGAAGAUUCUCCGCAACAUAUGUGCAGGAAGCAAACCUGAGAUGGUUGGUGUUAAACUUAACAAUAUCCUGCUGUUCACCUGGUUAGCUGUAAUUAUACUGAUAAUGAAAUCACUGGUGUAUUUUUACACCUUAGAUACUGAUUUACACUGACUCUGCAGGUUUAGUGGAUCUGUCAAGUAUCAGUGGUUUACACAUGGAUUUCUUUUGAAUAAACCGUAAUUAGUAACUGGGGAACCGACAUAUGUAAUGUAGGUGUUUGGCACCAGUACAGAUCAUAUUACAGCGGUAUUGGCCAGAUAUGAAUAGAUUAUAGAGAACUGGCUUCUUCAUUUACAUGAACCAAAGAAUUUUAGGUACAUAUGACAAUCCAAUUUUUUUUUUCUUUGCAUAAAUGUAUUCAUUUUUAAUUUUAUGCCACCAAUAGUUGUCUAAAAAGUUGGAACAGAAGACUGAAAAAGCUGAAAAUCAAUAUUCAGUUGCUGUGUCUUUGUGCUGUCGGGUGGAAGUGCAUUAAAAAAAAGAUUCGGUAGUAGACAUCACUCUGUGGACUCAAAAGAAUUCUGAAAAUCCUCGUCAUUAAAGUUCAUUGCUACAUCCACAGAAAGCUUAAAUCUACUAUGUACGCUAAAAAAGGAACGCAGUGUUACAUCCAGGGUCAUUUAAGAUGGAUGGAGGUGAUGUGGAGAAUUGGCCUGUGGUCUGAGCCGGAAUUAGAAAAGGGGGGGAAAAAAGUGACGAUGGGGCCACAUUCAGGUUGGAUCAAUCUUCACUUUAAAAACAAAAAAUGUGCUGCUGGUAUUAAAUUAAAAAUGUGUACAUCCUCUCAGUAUCACAUUUCUAUCUGUUGAUUUUGUUUGGUUUUCAGUCAAUACAGAAGAAUUAAAUAACAUGACCUAUAUAAAUUAAAUUCAGACAUGUGACAAGUUGCUGUUCUCCAUGGUUGCCCAUCUCUGCUGUAGAGUAGGAUUUUAACCACCAGGUGGCAGUUGAAUAUCAGGCAUCCCCUCCAGUCUGUUGCCUAUAAUAAGGUAACACAUUGUACUGGAGUAAUUAGCGCCUCAAAACUGCACACACUGAUAACUCCUGCAGCAUCGUUUUUCAUCCGUAUCCUGUGGUGCACACACCAUGUAGGUUUCUGUGGAGAUGAACUUCACAAUCGCACUCGCACAAACGUGUUUUAACAUUGUUUUAAUGUAAAUGUGUAAGACUGGCAUUACCUCAGCUGUGUUGCUACACUUUGAAUCACUUCUAGCCUUUAAAGUAAAAAGUUUAACAAUUUAAAGUGCAAAAUGGGUAAAUUCACAUGUUUUGGGGGGAUGCAUAUGUAAUCAAAUAUAUUUUGAACCUACUGACCUGGUA